rnacentral:rRNA from 1 species
GUCUUUACGGAGAAAGCUUUAUGCGCCGAUGGAUGAGCCUGCACUUGAUUAGUUUGUUGGUAGGGUAAUGGCCUACCAAGACAAUGAUCAAUAGCUGAUUUGAGAGGAUGAUCAGCCACAUUGGGACUGAGACACGGCCCAAACUCCUACGGGAGGCAGCAGUAGGGAAUCUUGCACAAUGGGGGAAACCCUGAUGCAGCGAUGCCGCGUGAGUGAAGAAGGCCUUUGGGUUGUAAAGCUCUUUCGUCGGGGAAGAAAAUG